UACGUAGGGUGCGAGCGUUGUCCGGAAUUAUUGGGCGUAAAGAGCUUGUAGGCGGUUUGUUGCGUCAGAAGUGAAAUCUCAGUGCUUAACACUGAGCGUGCUUCUGAUACGGGCAGACUAGAGGAAGUUAGGGGAGAACGGAAUUCCUGGUGGAGCGGUGGAAUGCGCAGAUAUCAGGAGGAACACCGGUGGCGAAGGCGGUUCUCUGGGACUUUCCUGACGCUGAGAAGCGAAAGCGUGGGGAGCAAACAGG
rnacentral:rRNA from 1 species